AUAUUUUACAUUGGGGGCAACCCUGAACUAGCCAUUCAGCGUAUGUGAAGAAGGUCUUCGGAUUGUAAAGCACUUUAAGUGAGACGGAAGGGGUGUAGGAUACUACCCUGAAGAUUUGCUGUAACCAACAGAAUAAGCACCGGCUAACUCUGUUCCUGCAGCCGCGGAAAUACAGAGGGUUCAAGCGUUAUUCGGAAUUACUGCGCGUAAAGCGCGCGUAGGUGGUUCAGUAAGAUGGGGUUGAAAUCCCCGGGCUUAACCUGGGAAAUGCUUUCAUAACUGCUGAGCUAGAGUACGGUAGAGGGUAGUGGAAUUUCCUGUGUAGCGGUGAAAUGCGUAGAUAUAGGAAGGAACACCAGUGGCGAAGGCGACUACCUGGACUGAUACUGACACUGAGGUGCGAAAGCGUGGGGAGCAAACA
rnacentral:rRNA from 1 species